CACUGGCCUUCCCAGCCAGGCUGUGGUCCUGGAACUCUCCAGGCACUCAGGCUCAUCACCAGCCAGUGUGUGGCACCUCCACCCCUCUCACCAUACAAAGCUCCCUUCACCACAGUUACUGUCUGCCUCCCUAUCGGCUGCUACUUGUGUCCCUGUCAUGCGUCCUCUUUGGCCCCCAGGGCUUGCACUGCACACAGAGCCUGGGAUAGCAGUUCCAUCUUCUGCAUGCUGCACGUUUGAAGGGGCAGGAACUGCUUUGUGUCUGAGGGCAGCACUGGUCAAAGCCAUGCUGGGACAUCCCAAAACGACACCCCGGCGUUCACAGACUCCAAACCAGGGGCAUUGCUGGGGCAAAAACAAUUACUGGAAGAGAAGGGGACCAGUGGCUGUGGAUUUUGUGGGGUUUAUCAGGAAAUGCAGAGAAGUGAAGGGACAAUUAGCCAUGAAAUUGAAGGAAAAUGUGCCAGCUUUUGUUGAUCUGAUAGGAAAGGAGAUCACCAGGCCUGCAGCUGCUACUCUUCAGCAGUUUGCAAGGCUGGGAGGAGAAUCCAGGUGGUCCUUGUUGACCAGGUGUUAGGAUGGUUGACCUGAGCCACAUCUCUUCAUGGUUGAUGAGGCACGAGGUUGCACCUCAGUAUUCUCUGGCCAGGGGCUGUCACCCUAUGGUGCCCGGACAGCUGCCCCCAAGAACAAUGGCCUCCUCACUGCCUACCAGGGCCUCUACUGGCUCCAAAGCCCUUGGCCACUUCUGGCCAGUCUCCACUCUUUUUUUUUUAUUUUUGAGAUGGACCCUCACUGUCGCCCAGGCUGGAGUGCAAUGGCACGAUCUCGGCUCACUGUAACUUCCGUCUCCCAGGUUCAAGUGAUCCUUAUGCCUCAGCUUCCCGAGGGAUUACAGGUACCACCCCCCCACCCACCAUGCCCAGCCAACUUUUGUAUUUUUAGUAGAGACAGGGUUUCACCAUGUUGGCCAGCUGGUCUCGAACUCCUGACCUCAAGUGAUCCAUCCACCUCAGCCUCCCAAAGUGCUGAGAUUACAGGCGUCAGCCACCACGCCCAGCCCAGUCUCCACUCUUGAUCUGGCUGUUCGUUAGUGCCAGGGGCCACUCCUCAGUCUUCUAGUGUACCUGGACCACCUCUCAGUUCCUCUUUCGAGGAUUGUGGGGAUGAUGACUAGGACAGGGCGUACAAAAUGGGAAUGGGCUUGAGAGCUGGACUUGUGAUAAAGAAAUAUGAUGGUCAGGUGGGCAUGGUGGCUCAUGCCUAUAAUCCCAGCACCUUGGGAGGUUGAGGCGGAAGGAUCACCUGAACCCAGGAGUUUGAGACCAGCCUGGGAAACAUAGCAACACCCCAUCUCUACAAAAUAUAAAAAAAUUAGCCGAGCACCGUGGCGUGCACCUGUAGUCCCCAGCUACUUAGGAGGCUGAGGUGGGAGGAUCACUUGAGCCCAGGAUGUCGACGCUGUAGUGAGCUAGGGUUGCAUCACUGCACUCCAGCCUGGGCCAUAGAGUGAGACUCUGUUUAAAAAAAA
rnacentral:lncRNA from 1 species